rnacentral:misc_RNA from 1 species
GAUGAAGAACGUAGCGAAAUGUGAUACUUGGUGUGAAUUGCAGAAUCCCGUGAACCAUCGAGUCUUUGAACGCAAGUUGCGCCCGAAGCCAUUAGGCCGAGGGCACGCCUGCCUGGGCGUCACACGUCGUUGCCCCCCCAUCUACUCCUUCGGGAUUGCGGGGGGCGGAUGAUGGCCUCCCGUGCGCCUCGCCGCGCGGUUGGCAUAAAUGCCAAGUCCUCGGCGACGCACGCCACGACAAUCGGUGGUUGCGAAACCUCGGUUGCCCGUCGUGUGCGGUCGUCGCGCAUCGAGGGCUCGAAAAAAUUGCCGGGUUCCGGCUCGGAUUUCAACGCGACCCCAGGUCAGGCGGGGUUACCCGCUGAAUUUAAGCAUAUCAAUAAGCGGAGGA